GAUUAGAGCUUGCUCUUAUGAAGUUAGCGGCGGACGGGUGAGUAACACGUGGGUAACCUGCCCAUAAGACUGGGAUAACUCCGGGAAACCGGGGCUAAUACCGGAUAACAUUUUGAACCGCAUGGUUCGAAAUUGAAAGGCGGCUUCGGCUGUCACUUAUGGAUGGACCCGCGUCGCAUUAGCUAGUUGGUGAGGUAACGGCUCACCAAGGCAACGAUGCGUAGCCGACCUGAGAGGGUGAUCGGCCACACUGGGACUGAGACACGGCCCAGACUCCUACGGGAGGCAGCAGUGGUCUGCUUUUUUUUUCC
rnacentral:rRNA from 1 species